GAUCUGGCUCAGGAUGAACGCUGGCGGCGUGCUUAACACAUUCAAGUCGAACGGAGAACGGGGAGCUUGCUCCCCGGGAUCAGUGGCGGACGGGUGAGUAACGCGUGAGCAACCUGCCUGUGUGUGGGGGAUAACACCCGGAAACGGGUGCUAAUACCGCAUAACGCAACGGAGCCGCAUGACUUUGUUGCCAAAGAUAUAUUGCGCACAGAUGGGCUCGCGUCUGAUUAGAUAGUUGG
rnacentral:rRNA from 1 species